AUUGAACGCUGGCGGAAUGCUUUACACAUGCAAGUCGAACGGCAGCACGGGUGCUUGCACCUGGUGGCGAGUGGCGGACGGGUGAGUAAUACAUCGGAACGUACCCAGUUGUUGGGGGAUAACUAACCGAAAGGUUAGCUAAUACCGCAUACGCCCUGAGGGGGAAAGCGGGGGACCGUAAGGCCUCGCGCAAUUGGAGC
rnacentral:rRNA from 1 species